rnacentral:rRNA from 1 species
CAGUAGCCGCGGGAAUACGGAGGGAGCUAGCGUUGUUCGGAAUCACUGGGCGUAAAGCGCACGUAGGCGGCUAUUCAAGUCAGGGGUGAAAGCCCGGGGCUCAACCCCGGAACUGCCUCUGAAACUAGAUAGCUUGAAUCUUGGAGAGGCGAGUGGAAUUCCGAGUGUAGAGGUGAAAUUCGUAGAUAUUCGGAAGAACACCAGUGGCGAAGGCGACUCGCUGGACAGGUAUUGACGCUGAGGUGCGAAAGCGUGGGGAGCAAACAGGAUUAGAUACCCCGGUAGUCCCUGUCUCUUAUAC